AACGCGAAGAACCUUACCAGCUUUUGACAUGUCCUGGACGGAUUGCAGAGAUGCGAUCUUCCCUUCGGGGCCGGGAACACAGGUGCUGCAUGGCUGUCGUCAGCUCGUGUCGUGAGAUGUUGGGUUAAGUCCCGCAACGAGCGCAACCCUCGCCCUUAGUUGCCAUCAUUCAGUUGGGCACUCCAGGGGGACUGCCGGUGAUAAGCCGGAGGAAGGUGGGGAUGACGUCAAGUCCUCAUGGCCCUUACAGGCUGGGCUACACACGUGCUACAAUGGCGGUGACAGCGGGAGGCGAAGGGGCGACCCUGAGCAAAUCUCGAAAAGCCGUCUCAGUUCGGAUUGCACUCUGCAACUCGAGUGCAUGAAGUCGGAAUCGCUAGUAAUCGCGGAUCAGCACGCCGCGGUGAAUACGUUCCCGGGCCUUGUACACACCGGCUAC
rnacentral:rRNA from 1 species